rnacentral:lncRNA from 1 species
AAAAUAUAAGUAAGUUGAAUAGCCUUAGGGAUACAAUCGACGGCAAUUUGAUUGGUCGAGAAUCAGCUCUUGGUCAAAUGACGUCCAAGUCGGAAGGAUGAAUUCGAUGAUUCGACUGAGGAUUGCGAGCAUCCGCAACAUAUUGAAUCAACGGACUCAAAAGGAUAGUGACAGAGGAGGCCAAUAAGCUUACUAGACUUAUGGGAUUAAUCAUAAUGCAAGCAAGCAAGAAUUUCAAGGAUAAUAGGCUGUUGAGGAUUUUUGGAAGAUCGAACGGUAUUUUGAAGACUUUUGUGAAAUACAUUAAUCAACUGGGGAUGAGAGGAUACUCGAUAAGUGUGAGGAAUUAUCCGUACGGAUAUUCAGGUGACAAAGAACUGCAAGGCAGUAGGCACAAAGUAUUCUCGGAACAAUCGGGAGGAUUUCCGGGUAUCUUGUAGUAACAAGAGAAAUUGGGGAUGAAUGUAAGAAUGGCAAGUGUAUGUAGUUAUCCAUAGGGGUUGACGGUGGAAGGGACUUGCAAACGCGAUGAGGACAAGAUAUUGGGAUAACAUGGGAGAGUAUCUUCAGGGUCUUCUGAUGAAUCAAGCCAUCAUAUGGAAUGAAGGGGCUCUCCAGGAGGAAGUGGUUACGAGAUCCUAGAGUCAGAGUUAGUAAAAUCUUUAACCCGAAUAGAUGAGAGAUCAGAGUCCCAGAGUAUAGACGAGGAAUAAAAAGAUCCUAAUACCACCCAAUGGUGACGUGGGCCCGUAAGACACACAACCAUGUUAGUAAAAGUUUUUCAUUGACUAGACUCAACUUCGGCCAAGGAGUUGGAAAGGGGGAUACCUACAGGCAGCUGGCUCUGAUACUAACUUGUGACGCCCCCGAUUCAAUCGUACACUAAUCAUACAUGCAAAUGUGUACGAUCAAGAUCAGGGACUCACGGGAAGAUAUCCCAACACAACUCUAGACACAAAUCAAAAUAAUACAAGCUUUAUAUUACAGGCCAGGGGCCUCGAGGGCUCGAAUACAAAUGAGUCAGCGGAAGCAACAAUAUCUGAGUACAGACAUAAGUUAGACAAGUUUGCCUUAAGAAGGCUAGCACAAAAGCAACAACGAUCGAAAAGGCAAGGCCUCCUGCCUGGGAGCCUCCUAACUACUCCUGGUCAUCGGCGGCCUCACGUAGUAGUAGGCACCCUCAGUGUAGUAGUAAUCGUCGGUGGUGUCAUCAGGCUCCUGAGCUCCACCAUCUGGUUGCGACAUCCGGAAAUAAUAGAAAAGAGAAAAAAGAGGGAGCAAAGCAACCAUGAGUACUCAUCCAAAGUACUCGCAAGCAAGGAUCUACACUACAUAUGCAUCGAUGUCAAUGAAAUGGGUUGUAUCUGUGGACUAGACUGUAGAAUGCCAGAAGAGAAGGGGAAAGCCUAGCCUAUCGAAGACUAGCAUCUUCAAGCAUCUUGCAACAUUUAGAAGAGUACAGAUCAACAUAAUGUAAAGUAGUAGUAGUGUUAUCAACCUCAGCCAGAGAUCCUUUCUCGACUCCUGGCGAGAAAGCAAUCCCAGAGCCAUACUAUCCAUUUCUCAUCACAAGUAUCCAGUUCUAGUUGUAUCGAUCGGGAUACAACUCCAAGUGUCUGUUACCAUAGGACAGGCUAUCGAUAGAUGUUUUCUUCCCUGCAAGGGUGCACCAACUUACCCACCAUGCUCGAUUAACUCCGGUCGGACACACUUUACUGGGUCAUGCCUGGCCUCGGCCAAACAAUAUGCCGCAACGUGACCUAGGCUUAAUAGAGAGGUCAGCACGCCGGACUAAACCUAUGCCCCCAGGGGUCAUGGGCCAUCGCCCCGGGAACUACUGCACAUUGCGAGGGCGGCCGGUGAGCAGACCUAGCUACCUCCUUAAAGAAGGCAGGUGCUUACGCAGUCCAACCCGGCGCGCGCCGCUCAGUCGCUAACGUCUAUUAAGCUUUGGCUGAUGUAUACGACGCAGAACUCCCAUACUAUGCCCACAUGAUGGUUAGUGCUAUCAGGCUAGAGGCCCCUCGGAUCAAAUAUCCAAACCGUUAGUGUGUUGGUAGUGCGGUCACGAGCAGAGACUCGCGAAAGAUGUGACGCCGUCGCCCCGUCUUGAGGACUUGUGGCAAGGGCUAAGAAUGCCCGGCCACGCCUCAUAGUUAUCUCACGGGCACUCUCCGGGCCAACCCGACUCCUCAUCACUCGCAAUUAAGCUCGCGCGGGUUCCCCUCAGGGCCGACCCGUCUUUAGUAACAAGGUUCAGUGUAAAUUCAUAGUAACCAUAGUAAUUGUGUGUCUAACACCAAGGGGAACCCUAAGGAACCACCCUCGAUGGAUUCCACUCGAUGUAAUCAUCAAGGUGAACGUAAGAGGAACCACCCUCGAGGUUUACUCUUGAGGGGUUGCACGAUAGCGUCAUAUCGGAAGUGGUUAAGGAGGAAAUCACCCUUGAUGACCACGACCGAACAGCUACACUACAGAGAUCUCAUUAGGAGUGAUGUAUGAGGUGUCACCCUCUACACUCGAUAGUAACUCUGCAGAGUCGUACAACUAGGGGAGUGAUGUGCGAUGUCGGGGCCUGGACGUCAAUCACAUUGAUCGAGUCAUCGAACAUAAAGCGGGGCAACUGGGACAAGGUGAGGGUCACUGAUGGAUCACUAACCAACCUAUACUAAGCAGUUUAGGGUAAGCACGUAAGGUACAAUGAGCAUGUUACAAAAGCAAGCUAUGCAUCAGAAUAGGAGCAAACAAUAUCAGUAGCAAAAUCUAAUGCACGCAUGAGAGAAUGGAAUGGGCGAUAUCAGGAUGAUCAAAGGGGGGCUUGCCUAGUUGCUCAGACAAGAAGGAGGGUCGUCGAUGACGUAGUCGAACACAGGGCAGCAUCGGCGGCAGUCUCGAAGUCUACCGGAGAGAGGAGAGGGAGGCAACUAUAAAUAUAAGCAAAUAGAUGAAUCACUAAGCAUAAUAUAGUAAUAUGGUGUGCCGGGUGUGACCUAACGUAUGGAUACACUAUAUGGGUGAAGGGGCAUUGCAACCGGGAAUGCUUUCCCAGUUCCGGACAUGUGUUAGACAGAUGACUGGAGGGGGAAUAUUGCAUGUUCGCUAUGCUAGGGAUGUGUGGCAGGCGAACGGACCGCGUAUUCAGAUUCAUCUCAUCGUUCUGAGCAACUUUCAUAUAGAAAACUUUUUCAUCCGAGUUACGGAUUAUUUUCUAUGAUUUAUCAAAUUUUUAAACAUUUUCGGGAAUUAUCUAAAUUAACAGAAAUGGAAUUAUGACGUCAGUGUUACAUCAUUGUGACAUCAGCAGUCAACAGGACGGCUGACCAGGUCAAACUGACCAGUGGGUCCCACCUGUCAUAGACAGUGGACUAAUAGAAGUUUAAACUAACUAAAAUGAGGUUAAUUAACAGCUGGGCCCUACAUGUCAGUGACUAUUUAGUUUAACUAAUUGUUUUUACUUAGGAAAAUGUUUUAAUUAGGUUAGUUAUGCGGUGGGGCCCGCGUGUCAGUGGCACUAUGCUGCCAUGUCAGCUAGUUGACCGGUCAACGUGGUCAACUGGGGCCCCUGGGCUCACUUGCCAGCGACCCAGGGAGUGGCCCUGUCCAACCACAUCAGCGGCGACCGGCGACGAGCCACCGGCGACCUCCAGACGCGGAGGAGGACCACGGGGGCGGUCGGAUUCGUGCUAGGGACGACCAAAGCGCACGGUUUUGGGCGUGUUAGAACGGGACGACCUAGACGCGUCCAACCGCGAUGGUGGCAAGGGCUGGCGUGGCCGGAAACGGGCGCGACGGCGGCGGUAGGCGGCGGCGCUCUCGAUCGAUCUUCGGAAUCAGUGAAACGGCGCGCGCGAGCAAUCUAAGAGGCCUGGCCGCACCACAGAAGUGCCCUGAGCACGGCGGUGGGCUCGGGUGACCACGAGAGCUACCACAGCGCUGGCGACGAGUUUAACAACGGAGAAAAGCUCCGGCAAUGGCACAGCAGCGUCGACCGCAAGCUAUGGCGAAAAGCAGGCGGCCAGAGGGAGAGGAAGAGAGGGGAAUGCUCACCGAGCGGCUAAGAAAAGCCCUCGACGGGUUAGGAGCAACAGAGCAGAGAGGAUCGGCGGCGGCGGUGUGUCGGGAUCCGAGGAGGAAGAAGGCGGUUUGCCGGUGAUGCAGGGCUCCUCGGCUCCUUCCAGCGGCUCCAGAGGAUGCGGCAUUCCACGGCGAUGCCGACGAGCACGGCCAGGACGCAUAGAAGGCACAGUGGCCGCGGAGAUGAUGAAGACGCGACGGCGAUGGCGCUCGGAGGUGGAUGGGGAACGAGGGGGAGAGGCAACGCACAGGCAGAGAGGGCGAGGGGAUUCUGGGAGUGGGUGGAGGUAGGUGGGGGAGGACUCGAGGAGCCGGAGGGGAGGCGCGGGGCCUUAUCCCCUCGCCUAAGCCGGCAAGGUGGUCCGGCGGCGAUGCGCGAGCGCACGCCCUUGGUCGAUUGAACAAGGGGAGGAGGACAGGACCGGGGAGAGGUAGGUGGGCCGGCCUGCUGGGAUGGGCCGAAGCCUAAGGGGAGGCCAGGGGCUUUCUCUCCCUCUUUUGCUUUCCCCCUUUUUUGCUAUUUCUUUUUACAGAAAAAAGCUUUGCAAUAUUUGAGCUCCCCAAAAGGAUUCUAUAAAAUGUGGGACUUGGGCACAUAAUUACAUUGCACUAGUUGGCACUGCUAAAAAAGAUUGUGAGGCUUUUGAAAUAGUUUGCCACUUUUAUAAUUUAAAAAGGCAUUUAAUCUAUUUAUUUUAGACAUUUUUUAACCAAUUUAGGGCACUUAGACAUUUUGCAAAAUGUUGCUUCACCACCAAUAUUUGUUAUGAAUUAUUUGGCACAAGAUGAACAUUUUAGAUUUCAUGUCUGAGCAAUUUGGAUUUUUGACUUUAGAUUUGAUUUGAAUUUGCAUUGUGAUUUGGAUCAAGUGAAGAUUAACAACAGUAACAUGACGACAUGGCACCAUUAACAGAGGAUUACUAUAGCAUGACACUGGGGGUGUUACAUCAUCCAAACAGUGUGUGCAUGCACGGUAUCCCUUAUUGUAUUUCCUAAAAGGUUACUGAGAGCAGGCCAAUCAUUGAUGGUGACGAACAACAACGCCUUUAGGUCAAAUUCUCUCCCCAUGUGCUCAUCCCACGCACGUACACCUUUUCCAUUCCAUAGUUGUAAGAGUUCUUCAACUAAUGCCCUUAGGUACACAUCAAUGUCGUUGCCGGGUUGCUUAGGGUCUUGGAUGAGCACUGGCAUCAUAAUGAACUUCCGCUUCAUGCACAACCAAGGAGGAAGGUUAUACAUACAUAGAGUCACAGGCCACGUGCUAUGGUUGCUGCUCUGCUCCCCAAAAGGAUUAAUGCCAUCUGCGCUUAGACCAAACCAUACGUUCCCUGCGUCACCUACAAAGUCCUCCCUGUACUUUCUCUCGAUUUUUCUCCACUGUGACCCGUCAGCGGGAACUCUCAACUUCCCGUCUUUCUUACGGUCUUCUCUGUGCCAUCGCAUCGCCUCGGCAUGCUCUUUGUUUAGGAACAAACGUUUCAACCGUGGUAUUAUAGGAGCAUACCACAUCACCUUGGCAGGAAUCUUCUUCCUGGGGCGGUCGCCCUAGACAUCACCAGGGUCAUCGUGGAUGAUCUUAUAGCGUAAUGCACCGCAUACCGGGCACGCGUUCAAAUCUACGUACUCACCGCGGUAGCGGAUGCAGUCAUUAGGGCAUGCAUGUAUCUUCUACACCUCUAACCCUAGAGGGCGGACAACCUUCUUUGCUUCGUACGUACUCUCGGGCAAUUCGUUUUCCUUUGGAAGCAUCUUCUUUAACAUUACCAACAAUUUUCCAAAUCCCUUGUCAGAUACACCAUUCUCUACCUUCCAUUGCAGCAAUUCCACUAUGGUGCCCACCUUUUUCAUGUCAGCUUCGCAAUUCGGGUACAACAAUUUCUUGUGAUCCUCUAACAUGCGCUUCAACUUCUUCUUCUCCUUUUCACUCGCGCAGUUUCUCUCUGCAUCGGCAAUGGCCCGAUAUAGAUCAUCAGUUGGCUCAUCUGAUGCCUCUUCUUCAGCUUCUUCCUGCAUUGUCGGCUCAGAUUCUUCCCACAUUACCGGCUCAGCUUCUUCCCUCAUUGUUGUAUCAUCGUAUUCAGGGAACCCAUGGGCAGGAUAGCUAUCGUCGUCCUCUUCUUCUUCAUUGUCUUCCAUCAUAACCCCUCUUUCUCCGUGCUUGGUCCAAACAUUAUAGUGGGGCAUGAAAUCGGACUUAAACAGGUGGACGUGAAUGGUUUUUAACUUAGAGUAAUUUUGACCGUUCUUACAGCCAGCACAUGGACAAGGCAUAAAACCAUCCGCCCAGUUGUUUGCCUCAGCCGCAAGCAGAAAAGUAUGCACACCAUCAACGAAAUGGGGAGAGCAUCGGUCAUCGUACAUCCAUUGCCGGCUCAUCUUCAUUACACAGCACCGAAAAGACCAAAUUAAUACAAGUUCAUACAUAAAGUUCAUACAACACUUAUUCUCAUAAAACAAACAUACAAAUAACUCUCAGCUAAAGCAUUUAAAUGCAACAACAAAUGCGAUCAAGAUAGAAACUAAGGUAACAAUUGAUCCAACAGCAUAAUGAUACCAAUCCUGACUAUCAAUGGCAUAUUUUCUAAUCUUUCUAAUCUUCAAGCGCAUUUUCUCCAUCUUGAUCUUGUGAUCAUCGACAACAUGCAACUCCAAUUCCAUCUUCUCCCCCUCAAUUCUUUUCAAUUUUUCUUUCAAAUACUCGUUUUCUCUUUCAACUAAAUUUAACCUCUCGACAAUAGGGUCGGUUGGAAUUUCUGGUUCACAUACCUCCUGGAUAAAAAUAUCUGUCAACUUGAUGGGCAUAAUUUGUCAUAAACACGAAAUGCAACAAAUAGUUAUAAAAGAAAAUAUACCACAUCCGGAUCAUAACCCGGACGAGGGCCGACGGGGACAGAUAUCGAAACCAUGGCACUAUGAAUAACAAACAACGUAUGGGUAAGAUAAUUAUACAAGUAACUAUAUAUCUAAAUCACACAAACUUGAUUUUUUAUAUAAAAAAGAUAAGAACAAGAGGCUCACCACAAGGUGGUGCGGCGACGGGACGGUGCGGACGAUCGACGGUGGUUAGGACGGAGACGGGAGGCACUAAGUAAACCACACCUACAUAUGCAAACUAAGACUUAUUUUGAGCUCAAAUUGCAUAUAAAUCAAAUAAACUACCAUAUAUAAUUCCUCCCAAAUUACUAAAACCCACAAAUUAAUCACUAUAUAAAGCAUUGCAAGAGCUAAUCUAGCAAUGAGAGAUGAAAGAACAAAGUUGAUUACCUUUGUGAUCACUUGAAUGGAUGGGGGCCUUCAAAUCUUGACGAAAUUCGAACAAAAUGUGUGAUGAACUCGAGGGGAAGAGGGGAAGAACAGAGAGGAGAGGGGAAAGGAGGGAACAGAGCGAGCUCGGGUGGACGAAGGGUUUAUAUAGGACGACCUUUAGUACCGAUUCGUGCCACGAACCGGUACUAAAGGUGCUGGAGGGGCCCCAGUCUGACAACAUCCUACCACCACUCUCUUUAGCACCGGUUCGUGGCACGAACAGGUGCUAAAGGUUUGCAGCGAACCGGUACUAAUGAGAGUGGCCCGCCUAGUCGUUAGAACCGGCACUAAUGAGUUGAACAUUAGGCCAUUUUUCUACUAAUGUGAAUAAUAAACAUUUAUCAUGAUAUAAAAAAAUAUAAAUAACAUCUUUAUUAUUGCCUCAUAUUUCCUUUAGGUCGGUGGGAGAGAUGGCAUGCACGGUGAUCUUGUGGUUAACCAUCACAGCGAGGCCAUUGGGAAGAUAAAUCACCUUAUCCGGGUGGUGCUCGUUGUUGGCGGAGGAGAUGCAAGCGAUCGGUCCAUCCCUGUCCAGAAGUUUAAUAAAGUAUGUAAAAUUACAGUAUAAUUAGCUAUUUUUGAGAAAAAAUAUCUAGUGAUACCAAUUUUAUGUCACAUGAAUCGCGUAUUAACAAAGUGGUACUAAGUGAAAGACUUGAAUUAAUGAAACAAAACACGCCUUAUGUUAAAACUAAUUAAUUUGUUACAUGUUUCUAUGUUUUGCAACAACGUGUAAAUUGGUUGAAUUUACAGGUCCAUAUGUAUGACAUGGACAACGGAAGCAGGGGCAUUGCCGUAAUUAUUUAUUGGGUUUAUUGGGUUUUGAACCCUGAACCUCUUGGUUGCAAGUUUAUACACCUAACCAAUCCACCCAUAAGCUGAAGCUGAUGAGAAAAGAUGGGUGACGCAUUUGCACGUCAACACUCCCUCUCACGGGUGGCUCACUCGGGUCUAAACAUGGACUGAAAGUGAGCUGCAAAUUGAUUGCGCUAGCCAGAUUUUGAACUCAAGACCUCUUAACUCCGAUACCAUGUAGAACUGCACGCACCAUCCGGUUCAUUAAAAGCUCAAGCUAUGGGUAGGAGAGGGUCGAACAUUAUACUCCAACACCUUCUAGUGGGAAUGUGUGUUCUAUAUUUCUAUUGACACUAUUUAUAGCUCUAGUUUGCCACCAGUACUGCUUAAUUUCUGCAACCUGUUAAAUUUAUUAUGUACUUCUAUCUAGUAUAUACUUAAAACAAGAGUCAAAUUAGCCAUCACGUUCGUCCACAUGUGCUAAUAUUUUUUUAGUUGUUUGAUUAGAAUAAUAACGGCUAAGAUUUAAAGGUUUUUGCAUAACAUCGUAAAAUAUAGAAACCGCUAUUAUUGAACCUUAAUGGUGUCGCGUUACAUAGGAUAGAAAAAAAAAGCAAUACGACGGACCGUGGCAAGAUGUCACGUUACAUAGGAUAGCAAAAAAGAAAGGACGUGUCUACCGAGCGGCUGGGCGCUCGAUAGGAAUCCGUGGCGGCCUCUCCAUUUUUAGUAUGUUUUUGUCUUAAUCAAACAAAUUAGGAAUUAUUUUGUCCUCCUAGCCAGAAAAAGACAAAGACUACACGACAUGUUUAACCAGAAUUGCAAAAGCACACACACGAACAUGUGUGAACGCAUUUAAUUCAGAUUUAAAUUUUUUAGAAAAGCCAUAACUUUUGAACGAAAAGUCGAAAUUAAGAUCUGCUUUCACUGCUGAAAUCCUCGCGAUGUGCUCUUCGAAACUAGAUCCCACAUGAAUAUGUUUCGAUAAACUUUUUUUUGUGCAAUUUUGUCCCCGUUUUGUGCAACUGGCUAGUUGUUGAUGUGCAACUACCUAAUAGUCGAUGUGCAACUUUUUCUUUAUUCAUGGAUGUGCAGUUUUCAAUGAUGACACCUCACCUCAAACUACCCACUAUCAAGUGAGAUGUGCAACUAUGUCUGCUGUCCCCAGCCAACCGCUUAGUAGUCGAUGUGCAACUUUUCUCCUCUAGUUGGAAGUGCAAUUUUUACUGUUUGCUACCUCGGCCAACUGCCAAGCAGUGGAUGUGCAACUUCGAAAACUGUCCUCCCAGCCAACUACCUAACGGUUGAUGUGCAUGUGUAACUUUCCUCAUAUCCGUGGAUGUGUAGUUUUCAUUGCUAGCACCCCUUUCCAUCCAACCCAGCUAGUGAGAUGUGCAUCUUGAGGGUCUCACCUGUAAACAUUAAUGUGUGUGUAACUAGACUACAUUACCACGCCAACUGAGUAUAUGUGUGUAACUAGUCCUGCCAACUAAACAUCAAUGUGUGUGCAACGAGACUACAUUGUCACGCCAACUAAGCAUAUGUGUGUGCCAAUAGUUUUGCCAACUAAAUAUCAAUGUGUGUGCAACUAGACUACAUUGCCAUGCCAACUGAGUAUAUGUGUGUGUAACUAGUCCUGCCAAUUAAACAUCAAUGUGUGUGCGACUAGACUACAUUACAAGUCAACUGAGCAUUUGUGUGUGCAACUAGUUUUCCUACCAACUAAACAUUAUUGUGUGUGCAAGUAGACUGCAUUACAAGCCAACAAACAUCAUCGUGUGUGCAAUUAGUUCUCCUGCCAACUGAACAUCAAUAUGUUCUAUUGCAACAGGGGAAAUAUGUUCUAUAGGAUGUUCUAUAUACUAAAAGUGAAAUAGAAAAGGAGAUGAAAUUCUAUUUCCUGUCAUCCGAAAACGGUGCCAAAGGUGAUCACAUUCUGACGUGAUCACCUGAGUUUUUGCAAACAAAAGGUGCCAAAGGUGAUUAGUUAACACUGCAUAAAAAAUAUAUUUGUUGUCCUUUAAAAAACCGGAUAAAAUAUGUUGAUGAUGCCAACUUGAUAUUAUGUUAGUUGUGCAACUACAAAAUGCAGAGGAUGCCAACUAAAAUAGUUACUCUUGUGCAACUAGAAAGACUGAGGAUGUCAACUAGUUAGAUGCUAUUGUGUAACUAGAAAAUGCUCAGGAUGCCAACUAAUUAAAUACUCCUGUGCAACUAGAAAUGUUGAGGAUGCCAACUAAUUGAAUACUCUUGUGCAACUAUAAAUCUUGAGGAUGCCAAUUAAUUAGAUACUCUUGGGAAAAGAUAUAUUCAGCACUUGCAUGACCCAUCAAAAAAUUGCACAUUCAGGUUUCAGGCUUCUAGAAGAAGAGGGUGUCAACGCAGCUACAAAAAGACUAAGGAUGCAACUAGUUGGAUGGUAUUGUGCAACUAGAAAUGUUGAGGAUGCCAACUAAUCAGGUACUCUUGUGCAACUAGAAAAAGCCUGAGGAUGCCAGCUCAUUUAUAUACUCUCUAGGACACAUCAUCAUCCUCUCCAUCCCCGUCAUUAUCAGCGCCAUGUGGUUGCCGCUUCACCGCCCAUUUUGAGUUCCGCCGAGAGGUCCUAUUUGGAGAACCCUACAAUGAACAAAAAAUAUUGAACUACUCAGAGGGUAAAAGAAAGGAGCAUAAAAUAAAUGGCCAUAGGAUAAAAAGAAAAAGAAAAUAUGAACCUCUGUUUCACUACCAGGCACAUUUCCUAUGGUUGCACAGUAAUGUAUCCCUAGUUGCGCAGGAUCCCAGGCCCUAGUUGCACAGAACUAAAAUAAAAUUAUUUGCCUAGUUUGCUUACAAAUUUGGCUAGAAGAUAUGAUAGAUUGCACAGGAAGGCUCCCCAAGUUGCACAGAACUGACACCAAAAACUGAUAUACAGAUAAUGAAAAUUAUUUGCCUAGUUUCCUUACAAAUUGGGCUACAAAGAUAUGAUAGAUUGUGAAGGAACCCCUAGUUGCACAGAACUAACACCAAAAAAUGAUAUACAGAAAACAAAAUUUACUUUGCCUAGUUUGCUUACAAAAUUUGGCUACCAGAUGUAAUAGAUUGCACAGGAAGGCACCCUAGUUGCACAGGGAGGCAUCCCUAGUUGCACAGAACUAACACCAAAAACUGACUUACAAAUUUGGCUAGUGGCUAUGAUAAAUUGCACAGAAACGGCGCCCUAGUUGCACAAAAAAACAGAUUGACUACACAUAGCAAUUCCCCCUCUCAAAAUCAGCAAAAAUCAUGUGAAAAGCCGCUGGGGCUAGUGCUCUACCUUCCCCUAGCAGAUGAACUACAGAUCCAUGGAUGUUAAUCCAGAGGGACGAACCUGGUUGGGGAUCUGAAGAUUCUCUGACUAUGUGUUCAUCAUGGUCGUGAGGGGGCUGGAUCUGGUUGGGGAAGGAGCAACGAGACAGGUUGUCGAUGAUGCUGUGGUGGCCUGGACCGUCGUUCUUGGCCGCGCCGCACAGGCCGCCCUCUACGGCAGCCGCUCCGUCGUCCUUGGCCCAGCCAUCUGUAGCAGCAGCAACGUCGACUAUGGCGAGGAAGGGAAGGAGCAGGCGGGCGCCAUGGGGAGGAAGGGGAAGAGCAGGGCAGAGCCAUGGGAAGGAAGGGAAGGAGAGCAGCAGGGGGCGCCAUGGGGAGGAAGGGAAGGAGAGCAGCAGGGCGGCGCCAUGGGAAGGAAGGGAAGGAGAGCAGCAGGGCGGCGCCAUGGGGAAGGAAGGCGAGAAGCAGGGGCAGCGCCGCAGGAGGGAAUCAGUCGAGAAAAAAGGACGAGAGAGUAAUCGCGUGUCGCGUAGCGAGUGUCUCCCCCGACCAAGUAGCACCUGCAGGUGGGACAACACCGAGAGAUCGUGCGGCUAGGAGCCGGCCGCUCGGUCUUGCCAAAUAGUGCGCGUGCACUUUUAAGAUUUUAGGAAAAAGAAAACAAUACGAAGGACCGCGGCAAGAGGCCAAGCGAUCAAGCUGGCAGUAACCAACAGGUAACACGUUCAUGAAAUUCUUUUUUUAGGAUGGAUAAGAAGACGCACUUGAACUCUGUAUUUUAUAAACAAUGGACUCUGUUUUUAGAAGGAUGUAAGAAACCAGCGUAAGAGAAAGGAAACUGAGAGGCCGGCGUAGGCACUAUUGGCCAUGGCACAUAAAAAUAUGUCUAAGACAAAUAUCUAAACUUACGUUGGCAUUGGAAAGUACGGCUGUAACUCCCGUGAAAAAAACAAGGCCGCCAGAUAGCUAAAACAGGUACGGCUGACAUAUAAAGGAGUCCGAGCGCCAAGCAAAAAAAAGAGUCCAACCAAAAUACGUAUACAAAUAUAUCUUAUGAUGUCAAAAUACGUGAACAUCUACGUGUCAAAUUUUUUUCUAUUCUCACAUUUUUUUAAGGAUGCCGAUAAGUGCCACACGUGUGGGCGUUAGGGAGGCUGCCCACACAUUUUGUGUGGUGUAUAAAAGGAACAGCCCACACACCACGUGUGGGCAAAAAAAGUAAUGCCCACACACCUCUUUUUCCCCUCCCGAUCCCUCUCACACGCGUGUGUGUGGGCGAAAUAGAUAACGCCCACACGCCCCGUACGUCAGGCCUCGUACCUCGUGGUCCCGCACGCCCGCGUGACAGUCACCGUGCAUCCCGCAGUUGCCAUGGUUCAGACCCUCGUCCAUGUUCGUUUAACUGCAGUUGCCAUGUCGCUGAACUUCGGUUGCCAUGUCGUACAACUACAGUUGCCAUGGUUGCUCAACUGCAGUUGCCAUGUAUGGUCUGAUCUACUGCAGUUGCCAUGAUUUUCAAAACUUUAAGAGUUGCCAUCCAUUAAACACUAGGCAGUUGCCAUGUAGCACUACAAAAAGGCAUGGCAAAAAAAUAUGUUUGGGUAAAAGAGAGAGUUGUCAUGUGCUCACAAGCAUGCUAGGGCAGUUGCCAUGUAAAAGAAAGAGUUGACAUCUACUUACAUGCACGCUACGGCAGUUGCCAUGUACCAUGCAAAAACACAUGGCAACUCGGGUAAAAAGCGUUGUCAUCUGCUUACAAGCAAAGCUAGGGCAGUUGCCAUAUACCUGCAGAAACACAUGGCAACUGCCAGCUUUGGGUGUGGGCUAGGAGACGGGCGUGUGAGCGAAGUGAUAAACGCCCACACACCAGCCCCCUCUGCGUGCGUGAAAUUAGUGUCUGGGCGAGUUGCUAAACGCCCACACACCAGCCACCCGUGUGGUGAAAAAAGAACGUGUGGACGACCGGAUGAAUGCCCACACACCAGCUUAGUCCUAUGUGGCACACAAAAACUGCUAGAACGCGCCAAGAUUCGUGCAUAAUUGGUUGGACGAGGAUCCAUGCGUGUGGGCGAGUUGCCAGACGCCCACACGUGUGGGUGUUAACAUUUUCGUUUUUUAAAAUGAAUAUAAAGUGUGUUCUAAUUGUAAUGGCUGAUAGUAUAAAGUAAAAUUUGUUAAUUAGAAAUAGUCAUGAAGACCACAUGAAAUCAUAUACAAUAUAUUACUAAAAGAAAUACGUCAUCCUUAUCUACAGUAUAUACUAGAUGGAUAGAUAAAAAAUUUGAUCAAGUUUUUCUUAAGCUAAAUCCGAUCAACUGAACACCGCCAUGGAUUCUAAAAAAAAGAUGCGGAACUACAGCCAACAAAUGUAGAUCAUAGAUGUGUUUAAAAAAACAUAGACUAUAUGGAUCCCUAAAGAAACGUAUACUUGAUGGAGAUCCGUCUAUCUUAGGAAAGCCACCAAUUGGGAUCCACGUAAAAUUGGCAGUUAAGGAUCCACAUGGGAUGCACCAUGUACAGCAGGACUAUUUGCGCAAUAGAAACUGAAAAAGAUAAUAAAUUUGAUACACAUACGGUCACUUUUUUUUCUACAUAUGCCAUGGUGCUGCUUCCCCUACAUCAAUUGAUGUGCACCACGACGUCUAGAGUUUGUGGACGACCAGGAGAAGCACCCGCAUCAAAGGAUCUUCUAUAGCAACUACAAAUCCGUCAAGUGGAUUUGAAGUUGGCCGCAACCACUGCAACAACCCGCAUAAAUUAUGUGAUGAGCUUGAGAAAUGACGAUGAUUUCAAGCUGGUAGAGCAGACAAACGCGCAAGGUGUCUGAAGUCUGCGACAAAGCUAUGGUUACAGAAGGCCAUGAUUUGGGGUCCUCGAGUCAAAGGCAAGGUACAUGGAGAGUCUGAUAUGGUGCUAUCGAUAUUGCUAGAGGUGACAAUGUCAGAAGGCCAUAAGGAUAAUGGUGGGUGACCACAAAGACGACAAACAGAGGCGCGGAUUUGGCAUCACACGGUGUGACUUUGGUUUACGUGGGCUAAUUUUCAAUGAGACGCCUCGACACAACUUUAGAGUCAAGUCUCAGAAAACAAAAUUGUUCGAACUGACUGCACAAGGUUUCAGGUCGGUCCACAUAGAUUAUGCCCUCUCCUCAUGCAUCCACAUGAUCCAAUGAAUGCAGGCGCAUGCAAGAGGCUGUAGAUAGUACUCCAAGAGGUUGUAAGGAGUACAUCAUAUGAAGACAUAGUAAUUACUUUCAGGUAUGAAAAAUCAUUCCACGGGACAAAUAAUAAGGAUGAUAGAAGCAAUAUGACGAAAUAUAUCUAUCUAUGAGGUAAGAUAAUAUUGUAGUAAACGAUUGACAGGAAAAAAUGCACCACACUUGAUAGUCCACGUCUAGCAAUAAAAUAGACACCUAACAUGGCAUGUGAUAGGAGGUUAAGGCAUACUCCCUCCGUAUUUGUUUACAGAGGGAGUACAACAGAAGAAAAACUCUGGUAAGCACCCAACUACCGUGCGGAAGCCAUAAUAAUAUGUACAUCAACUACUAAUUUUGGCUGACUAUAUAUCACUUAUAAUAUUAAAAUCAUCAAUAGAAAAAGAAGGCUUGAUCCAAGUUCUAAGAGGACCAUUUUAUAGAUUUUAUAUUAACAUGACAAGUCUACAUGUUCAUCGAGAUAAGAUGAAAAAUUUUGCACCGUUGAUUUUUGUCCAAGGUUAUAUCGGUGUAGAAGAGUCGAAAUGUGUAUAAAACUCCUUAGUACAUAGUAUAAGUAUAUAUAUUUCUUUUUAGGUAAAUAUACUUAAGAUUUGCUGUAUGAAAUAUUCAGAAUAAGGCAUAAAAAGAAUUGGCAUAACUAUUUGUAUUUUAACUCCAUAUGAAUCUAUAAAUAGAUAAAUUUCAAAAUAGUCAUAUAUAUUAUAUAUAAUUAGUAAUUGUGGUCCAGAGAGUAUUGAAAAAUAUUCAAAAAUACAAGUUGAUACAGCACAAUACAACAUGAGCAAUAUGAUUACAAGGAGUGGAUCGAAGUGGGCAAAUAGGAAGGUUGAUAUGUUAUACAAGUCCAGAGGGCAUUUCAUCGGCAAACUAUAAUGCAAUCGAUCAGACAUAUGUAUAUCAUAUAGUUAGUGGAAAACGAAAUCAGGUGAUACCCGAUCAAAACGCCAUAUAAAUGGUAGAGAAACAAAUCAUAGACAAAGAAUCUAUAUAGUCAACCUAGCCGCGCAAAUGCGGGCCACACCAUUAGUUAAUUAGUGAUACUACAUGUGUAGGCUAUAGAAAAGGUAGAAUCACCUAGGCAUCAGUUGAUAUUUGCUUCUUUUUGUUACCGGGAAUGCCUUGCACCUAUUGUACCCAUGAGGAAAGGAAUUGUCUGCAAGCUCAAUUAUCCUCUGAAACAAAGAAAAGGAAAGAGAGCGAGGACUAUCUAUUUGAUUUAGUACAACUUUGUACUAAAUCAACGACAACUAAUAUAAAAUAGAGGGGUACGAUGUAUCAUCCCAUAGUGGAUAAUUUUCGAAGUUGCAUGAGUGACGCGAUCAACUGCCUAAUGGUGCCUUGUGCAUGGAAUUUGCAAAGCUAAAGAAACACCCCAUGAUCACUGUGAUGAAAAGAACUCCAAACACAACGAGCGUGGAAAGCAGAAUGCCCGCGUAGGCUGACGAUGCCUUGGCCGCGCACACAAGGCUCACUGUCAAGGUAACCACUGGAACUUUUGUGUGUGUGUGUGUGUGUGUGUAAGCACGGUGCUCACCUGAUCUCCGGUUCUUGCGAAUUAAAGUUGGCCGCUAGGAAGAAUGGAAUGAGCGCAGGUCUGGCAUUGGCCAUCGGGUAACUCGUAAGAGGCACUCGGGUAGCCAGGCUGACUUGCCUGUGGAACCUCUCGGGUGCCCCGAGAGCUCGAUCGCCUCCCAGUAGGUCCACAGGCAAAUCAUCCUUGGCUACCGAAGAUGGCCGCUUACCUCCAUGCAAGAACUCACACAUGUGUCAUGUGAACUGCUUGGUGCACUCAGAAUGAACUGACUACCAAGGAUGGUGCCUGCAUGCCCUGCCCCUGGCCAUGUAUUUAUAAGAAGGCCGGGGAGGCAGAUCAGGGGCGACUUCGGUGAGGCCGCAUCAUGUUUGAUACAGGUGAGUAGAAUCUUGGCCUUUGACAAGGGCGAAAGGUGUCGAUCAACCAGAGCAAGUAACCACCACCGGACCACACACACUGCAUGCCGGACUGAAGAUCUAUCUCGUUUCCUUUCCGGAGAGCAUCCAGGGAUUUGGAUCUUGAUCACGUUUGUUCAGGUCGGUUCGGUUGACCAGUACGUGCGCGCGUGUGGUCUUUCCAGUUGGGUUCCACUCGCUUGACCUGCCGACAUGGAAUUCGUGCACGUGGAGCAGAAGAACAUUGCCGUCCGGAUCGGGCGGUGGUCAGAAUAAUAAGGUUAAGGGUAAAUGUUGUGGUGCUGGGUGGAAAAGGAUGUGGUGACGAAGAAGAGAUCGAGCCGGGAUUCGGACACUGGACCUGGUCGCCUCCUGCCUGGCUCCAUGCACGUCCCCGACUGGUCCAACGCCGGUGUUGGUGCGCAGCCUCCUGCCUGCAGUACGCAGAUAUUGGAGUGGUGCAACACAAAGCAUGCUCGGACCAGGAUGGAGACACAAUGCACACAAUUCUGAAGAUGCAGAAAAAGCACUUUGGGGAAAAUGGUGCUGCGGCCAUGGGAGGUCAUCGGCCAGGGUAAGCAGCGACAGAAUCCUUUCCGAGAAUCACAUCAAGGAGACCAACAAGAUGGGGGAAAACAUAAUGUCUAAUUAUUUUAUUUUAUUUUUUUUCAAAACUGAGGCAAAAGAUUUACCUCAUCGAUUAAUUAAAAAAAGAGAAUUGUCCGGUUAAUUAACGAAAAAUCAGACGAAAACCGAUACAUACAGAUCAAAUGCGGACUACUCGCUAAAAAAGAAACUCCAUGACCCCACAGUCAACCCGACAAACAUAUAUAACACGCAACAACCACGAACCCUAGCACUUCUAUGUCGCAAAGAAACCCUCAACAAAACGAGCCAACCGAAGAUGAAGGACAAAGAGAGUGAGUAUCCUCCAUUAAGCAAUCGCGGACGCCUUAUCAAUGGCACCACUCUUCUUGCCUAUACUCCUGACAGUCUUCUUCACCUUCUUUAUUUUGCCUGUAAAAACCUCAUCCACUAGGAGACAAGCAAUCACAUCGCGAGACCCAUGACAAACUGCAGCCAAGGAGGCGAGCAAGCGGCCAAGCUUUUUCACAAAGGUCGUCUCGUCAAUACGUGCCAACAUAGCGUCACGGUCAAAGGUGGGCAACCGAAUGAGCUUCAGCGCCUCAAAAUUAGCUGCCAAACCACCUAUCUCAUCAACCUCGGCACCCACAAACGCCACCUGGGCAACAACCUCAGGUGAGAGAGCAAUAGCAGCGUCCAAACCUUCACGGUCACAAAGGCGAGCGGCUGACUGGACUCCAACGACGACGGUAAGGUCGCAGUCAGCAUCGCCAAGUGUCGUCCAAGCGAUCCCAUCUCCUUAGGAAGCACCAUUGAAAUAGGUGAAGUGGGCUCCCCACAAAGCUUCUGUAGCUCAGGCAUAAUCUGCAGCACCGGAGUCACGACCUCGACAACGACUUCACGCCCAGAAGUAAUCGACAUGACAGGCAACGACAACCGACAUGAUCUAGCACGAGGGGAGAGAUCUCCAUACAUGCAUGCUUCCCCAUCGGCAGAAUCAACCAAGAUCUCGAACGACAGGGACACAUCGGAGGCAACCUCAAUCUGAAGCUCAGGCAGCGAAGACACAUCCGGCACCACCUCUAGUUUGGCGAGAGCGACCUCCGCCCUCACUAAAACACACCCGACUCGCGCAAGGCAAUCACGAAGCUCAGUGAGAAGCACCUUGGUCCCCUCCGCCAACCCGACUCGCUGAGCCGAGACAAACUGGAACUGUGCGUUUGUCAUGGAGACAUCACCGGUGGAUGCAGGCGGUGGAGCAUAACACUAGGGCGGCGAAGCUUGGUGGACAGGCUUCUUAGCACAGCAGAAGUGGGCGAUGUGACUAGAUCAAAGGCAGUUCAUACACCGGAUUGGAUCCUUGUAAGAGUGUGCAUAGUGACCUCAACAGAGGCAUCGGAAACACUCUCUCAGCCACGCCAGAGGAGGACGCCGCAUAUUGAUAGCUGGCGAUGAAAAGCAACGGGAGUCGAGCGUCGCCCCCUUGAGACAAGCUGCCAUCCCCCCAAUGCAUUCCAGCUUGGUGCUUGACACACAGGGGCUGUCGGCGACGCCUCACGGUCGAAACAUCCUCUCCAAUUUCACAAACCUAGACGCACCAGAGGCGCCUGCAUGACGUGCACAUCGCCCGCAACAAUAGCGUGGGCCAUCAGAGGGAGCUCCUCGAAGGCUGUUGUCUCCGGUAGCAACAACGGCCCGGCGCGGUAGGCGUCGGAGUUGCCAAGACCAGAUCAAAGCUCGCCAGCAUCUCGGUCGUGGCAAUGUCCAAAAAAUACAUUCACUCGGCGAACAAUAAAACAUGAUGAUUAUAUGAAAAUGUUUGCUUUCACCCCAUGCGUUUCCAUGCUGCCGCCUGCCUCCUCUCCCAUCUCUCUUUGCUUCCUCUAUGGCUUCGAUCUCGCCUGUUCUCGCCGUGGACGCAACGACAACACUAUACGAGGAUGAGCUUGGUGCUGCAACCAGGUUGCAAACUGCUACAAGUGGAUGAUGCAGGCAGUGUUUGAUGUUGCAAGACAACCACUGGUGUGCUUCUAUCAGCUGCAAAAGAGGACUGCUGUUGCGAGGGGCUAAGAGCAUUACUAGUAGAACCCUCAAACCCUCGAACCCUCUCUAGCGUUUUAAGGGUCCAAAAAUGAUCCUUUUGUGCACUUUUACGGAUUGAAAAACAGGGGCAAAGAUUAGAACCCUCAAACCCAACCCUUAUAACGGAAUAUUCCCCAUGAACGACGUUGUCGUUGCGCGCGGGAGGUCAACGGGGCGGCCGCCGGCGACUAGCAGCGGCGGUCACGGGCGUGGGCGGGGGAGUUAGGAGGAUUUUCCCUCCCGCGCGAGUAUAACCGCCAAAUAAGGGUUGGGGUAGGUUUUGCUCCCCAACCCUUACUUUUGAGGAUUGGGAGAGGGUUUGCGGGUUGGACCUUUAAAAAAAUUUGAGGGUUUGAGGAUUAAGGGGUUCUAGUCUACGGCUUUUUUUCGACGAAAACUGUAAAAAAGCAGUUAUUUUUAGGGAUUUGAGGGUUUGAGGGCUCUACUAGUAAUGCUCUAACAACCGACGCUGCUGUGAGGCCUUAAAACCUGAGGAGAGGAAGGUAGCUGCUGUAGCUUUUCAGAUUGAGGAUGAUGCUAGACUAAAGGCGGAAAAUGGCCGCAUGGUAAAGGAGGCUGCUGCAAAGGAAGCUUCGGUGUUGCAGUUGUGGAGUUCAAACGAGCAGCUGAGCUUGCGAGAGGAAGAAGAUUACAUAAGUUGCAUCAAACAGCUGCAAAGUCCGCUGUUUUUAGCAGUCCGCCAGCUCACAGCUGGCGCUGGCCAUGAUACAUCAACAUAAAUGGAUAAAUGAGGAUUUAGUAACUAGCAUAGAAAUAAAAACCCACCCAGAGAUGAUUUGGAAGCACAAAGGACCAAGAAACAACAUCUAAAAAACAAGUUGAAAUAUAGUAUAACUUCAAUAUUAAUCUGAAACUUAUGCCACAGAAAUAGAAAAUGAGGCCAUCCUAUGUGUCGUUCAAAAAAUGUAUAUUCACAUAGAAACACCAAAACCACCAGCAAUGUAGUGCUUUCUGGUCACAAAAACUAACAAAGUUAAGAUAUAGCAACUUUAAUCAAAUAUACCUAGACCAUUGUAAGAUAGAUAUUAACCGUGAUACAUUCCCAUGCGUAACCAUUGCAUAAGCAUGACUACACAAAGAGCACUGUAUCUGAAAGCAAUUGAAGCAUUCCUAGACUAUUAGAAGCCAUACAAUAAUGCGAAACACGACUCCCAGUGAUAGGCUGAUAGCACCAGGGGGCUCAUAGCUUACUUGUCAACUACUCACUCCAUUCACUAUUAUAAGAGAUGUUCUAUCUUUUAUCUGAACCAGAUGUAUAUACACAUUUUAGUGUUUUUGUUGAUUCAUCGACUCAUUCCAAUCCAUAUGCAGUCCAUAUUGAAAUACCUAAAUGGUCUUAUAAUGGUGAAAGAGGGAGUACCAGCUAAGACAGAAAUAUAACUCCCCACUGUGUUGGCCACUAUGGAAUCACAUGAAUCCUCUUACUGAACAAUCAAAUGUCAAACACACACUACAACAGGGCAAUGACAAAGGUGUAUUGAUUUGAUUUAAAUUGUGGUCCACAACUCAAAUCAAAUCAAUACACAAGAAACGGAUUCAAACAAUGGGUGACCAGGCAGAGCCCCAAAAUUGAAUUGUCAUAUGUACUCAUCUUCCAUCAUUUGAUUACUUAUAAAGAGCACAACACAAGCAAACCUUCCCAAACAGCUUCGCCUCCCCCUGAGGUCAUACAUAACCCCCAUCCCCCUCAAAUCGCCAUCACAACGAGGGCGCAUAAGAAAAUUGGACCUUGUUCAAACAAGUAUCAGCAGUAGCUACUAAAGAAACGUUUUAUAUGUAGCAAACCACAAACAUUAAACUACUUAUAUAAUGACAGGUAUCACCACUAAAAACAACUAAAUCAUCCAAAACCUAAUUGUAAAGAAAACAAAACAUACAGAAUACCUAACUAUGUGCAUAAAUAGUCAUGCACAAAGGAAAUACAAAUGGCGAAAAGGUCAUUGAUAAAUCAAGGUUUUGGUAGAACUACAAAGGGCAAUCUCCUACCAAGCAAAAGGAAAACAUCAAAGCUUAAAACCAUACUGAACAAGUAAAGCAACCACACAAGAGGCAAAUAAUUGUAGAACAUUGAAUCAACCUACAUAUCUGGUUUCAUAUGGAAGAUCCAAUUGUGCAGGAUACUAGGCAAGUCACCCAGGAAUUACACAUGCCUACAACAGGUAUUCUACACUAACCACAAUACAACUAUCCCCUACCAAGCAACCAGUUAACAAUUCUACAAACAAAUGAACAGCUUAAAGCCAAACCGCUACACGAGAAAUUCAUUCAAAAUGCAGGUAGGUAACCAUACUAGGGUACCGAAGGAUUUCAACUGGUCAGGCCAUUUCAACUCGGGCAAAAUACAGAGCUUAAGCAGGAUAAAAGCUGUUCCAUAAUCAGCAAAAUAUGAUGGUAUCCCAGGUAGGCUACAAGCAGUAAAUAAUAAUAUCUCUCAACACAAGCGAAAUCUUAAUCUUAAAACAGGCAUCCCGGAGUCACAUGCUAGCUUGCAAAAACAACGAGACGCCAUAAACCCUAGGUACCCUAGACCCUUCUCCCGUCGGCGGCAACGGGCGUCAUCAUCGUCAUCCCCGGCUUA